ensembl:lncRNA
UAAAAUAUAAUUUUAUUGUGCAAUUAGGUUUUAAUCCACAAAAAAUACUUUAUUUCUACACAUUUUCAAUGGGAGCCAGAAAUAUGUUGACAUUUAUGAUUAGUAGACUCCAUUAAGUAGUGUUGCUAGCUGAGGUUGACGCAGUGAAGACAGAGUACUACUACGCAAAGGGCAGUAUCUGGACUACAGGAUCACGGGCCUCUCGGGACAGAUGACGCAGUCUGCAGGAACUGUGUAAGUGGGUAAUCUCUCAGCGGGCUCCAUAUCGACUGUGUAUUCCGUUGCCUGAAGUGCCAAGCAAGCGGCUCUUUCUAAAAGAAGCCCAUCUCGCCCCUCAGCUAUGAGAUUUAUUACGCAAGUCCUGCUGCCCCAUUUCCACUCACCCAUGUACCCACACCACAGAGCAUGACCUGGAAGGGCUGAGAAGACUUUUAGUGCAAAGAUACCAAGUUUUAGUCCUUAUUUCUGUUUUUUGAGCCUAUAAAUAUUACAUUAAGAUCCAAGCACUUACUUUCAGUUUUUCUCUUAUUUCAAACCAGAUGUGAAAAUCUGGCACUAGAGCUACUGCCUGCAGAACUACAGUUUGAUUAAUAUUUCACAGGCUUACAUAACUCCAUCAGUUAGCUUGUCACCAUGAACCCGGUGCUACUACUAUUACCCAACUCCAUUAGACGAGCAGGAAUGCGGCAGAACUUUUAUUGUUUCUGGAAGAACACUUGAUGACGUCCCUCCCGUCACAGCUUUAUCAUUUUAUCGUGUCGUCAGAAUUCAGGCCAGGAGGUGGGGGUGCAACUUUAAUUAGCUGAGCAUGCUGGACUGAGGAUAUAGAGCAUUAAGAACACUCUUUAAGAAAAGUUGGAGACUUCGUCCUUUGUGAUUGUACUUACUUUUUAAUCAUGAGGUUGAGAUGAAGCUGAUGAAGAUUAUAUAAAAAUGUGUUUUAAGGCCCCAGGAACUUUAAAAUUAUAAUAAUAAUUUAAAAAAAAUACAGUGAUAAAAGUUUGACUUUACUUUUUGUAGCUGUAUAACCUCUCUUGAGUUUUACUUGCCUCUCUCAGAGCCUGGUCCUGCUGCAAGGUUUCUUCCUCACUGCUGUCACCAAUUGCUGACCCAUAGGGCACUAACAAAUCUUAAUUUCAUAGGACGCAUGACUGGCAUAAAACUGUUUCCACCUUAAAAAGUAAAACACCUUAUUUGUUGAAUUCCCAAAACUCUCAUUGUAACGACUUUUUGCUUUUGUAGAGCUACUCCUAUAGAUAAUGCAAUAAUGUAAUAAGACUUACUGCUGAAAUCUCUGUGUUAUAAAUGGAUGGAUCACUGAAAAACAAUGUUUAC